UACCUUCCGUGGGCUGGCCGGCCCCCAGGCUGGGCUGGUAGAGUAUGUCUUCAAAAGGCUCACCCUCCAGCACGACUAGGAGC
rnacentral:pre_miRNA from 1 species